rnacentral:rRNA from 1 species
ACGGCUCAGUAACACGUGGCUAACCCACCCUUGAGACGGAGAAAACCCCGGGAAACUGGGGUUAAUCUCCGAUAAGGGAAGACACCUGGAAUGGGUCUCCUCUCAAAGGGCGCCUAGACCAUGCUUCUAGGCGUUGCUCAAGGACGGGGCCGCGGCCGAUCAGGUCGUUGGUGAGGCAACGGCUCACCAAGCCUAUAACCGGUACGGGCCGUGAGAGCGGGAGCCCGGAGAUGGGCACUGAGACAAGGGCCCAGGCCCUACGGGGCGCAGCAGUUGCGAAAACUCCGCAAUGCACGAAAGUGUGACGGGGCUACCCCGAGUGCCGUCCGCUGAGGGCGGCUUUUCCCCGGUGUAAGGAGCCGGGGGAAUAAGGAGAGGGCAAGUCUGGUGUCAGCCGCCGCGGUAAUGCCAGCUCUCCGAGUGGUAGGGAUGAUUAUUGGGCUUAAAGCGUCCGUAGCCGGCCCGGCAAGUCUUCCGUUAAAUCCAACGAUUCAAUCGUUGGACUGCAGGAGAUACUGUUGGGCUAGGAGGCGGGAGAGGCCGACGGUAUUCUCGGGGUAGGGGUAAAAUCCUAUAAUCCCGGGAGGACCACCAGUGGCGAAGGCGGUCGGCUAGAACGCGCUCGACGGUGAGGGACGAAAGCUGGGGGAGCGAACCGGAUUAGAUACCCGGGUAGUCCCAGCUGUAAACGAUGCGGGCUAGGUGUUGGGGCGGCUACGGGCCGCUUCAGUGCCGCAGGGAAACCAUUAAGCCCGCCGCCUGGGGAGUACGGCCGCAAGGCUGAAACUUAAAGGAAUUUGGCGGGGGAG